rnacentral:rRNA from 1 species
GUGGGGAAUAUUGGACAAUGGGCGAAAGCCUGAUCCAGCCAUGCCGCGUGUGUGAAGAAGGUCUUCGGAUUGUAAAGCACUUUAAGUUGGGAGGAAGGGCAGUAAGUUAAUACCUUGCUGUUUUGACGUUACCGACAGAAUAAGCACCGGCUAACUUCGUGCCAGCAGCUGCGGUAAUACGAAGGGUGCAAGCGUUAAUCGGAAUUACUGGGCGUAAAGCGCGCGUAGGUGGUUUUGUAAGUUGGAGGUGAAAUCCCCGGGCUCAACCUGGGAACUGCCUCAAAAACUACUGAGCUAGAGUACGGUAGAGGGUAGUGGAAUUUCCUGUGUAGCGGUGAAAUGCGUAGAUAUAGGAAGGAACACCAGUGGCGAAGGCGACUACCUGGACUGAUACUGACACUGAGGUGCGAAAGCGUGGGGAGCAAACAGGAUUAGAUACCCGUGUAGUCC